AUUUGUUUUCCUUUAUCCUCUUGUCUCUCUUGUCCUCUCCAGUGGCAUGAUGAUCUUGUCUGCCAUAACUUUAGUUUUAACUUAGCGGAGUAACAUGAAAGAACAUAAAAGAGAUGUUUGAAAACAAUACUGGGAAUUCAUAUUUACCAAGUACUACGAAAUAUAUGACAAAGCCUUCUCAGAUUUGUUUAUCUGAUCCUUUUCUUAAGCUACUUGUUUGUAUGAUAGAGAAAAAAAGUUCCAUUAACGGCAUACUGGAAGUAGCAGUUUUCCAAUUAUUAUGAGGAGUUGACACCUCUGUGUCUUGUCUAGGCUAAUUUAGUCUGGACUGUUAACAAAAUGAAUCAGUAGUCCAUAUGAAGACCUUCCUGGCUUUUUUUAAGCUACCGCUGAAAAUCAGACAGAUAAAAUGUAUUUAUAUUUUUUACAAUUAGGAGUUGAAAUUAUAUUCUGUAAUAUUAAAAUAUUUUUUUCUUUACCAUUUUAGACCAGUCUGCUUAGUUUUAAGUGAAAUUCCUUUUAUGUCUACUUGGUUUUUACUUGUGUCAACAUUUAGGUAAGUCAUACCAAUUUCCAUAUAUUUUCAGUAUAAUUCCUGUAAACUAAUUCAAAACUUUUUUAUGAAGUGGUUAUGGUUUGAAUUGAUAAUUCUCUUUUGAUUUUUAAAAAUUUUCCUUUACAGUAUGCUACCUCUUCUAUUGAAGGAUGAACUCCUAAUGCCCUCUGUUGUGACAACAAUGGCAUUUUUUAUAGCUUGUGUAACUUCCUUUUCAAUAUUUGAAAAGACUUCUGAAGAAGAACUGCAGUUGAAAUCCUUUUCCAUUUCUGUGAGGAAAUAUCUUCCAUGUUUUACAUUUCUUUCCAGAAUUAUACAAUAUUUGUUUCUUAUCUCAGUCAUCACUAUGGUGCUUCUGACGUUGAUGACUGUCACACUGGAUCCUCCUCAGAAACUACCGGACUUGUUUUCUGUAUUGGUGUGUUUUGUAUCUUGCUUGAACUUCCUGUUCUUCUUGGUAUACUUUAACAUUAUAAUUAUGUGGGAUUCCAAAGGUGGAAGAAAUCAGAAGAAAAUCAGCUAGCUGUAUUCCUAAACAAAUUGUUUCCUAAACAAAUGUGAAAAUGUGAACAGUGCUGAAAGGUUUUGUGAACUUUUUGCUAUGUAUAAAUGAAAUUACCAUUUUGAGAACCAUGG
rnacentral:sRNA from 1 species